rnacentral:tRNA from 1 species
CAGCUCAGUUGGUUAGAGCGUGGUGCUGAUGACACCAAGGUUGCAGGUUCGAGCCCCGUAUGG